CCAAGGUCUCUCCUGUUUCGAUUGGCAACAAGAAGAAGGAUGGCUUUGGCAUACCUAAUACACAUGCCCCUUCCCAAUCUUGUGGUAACUCCGAAUAAGUUUUCUUACCACAGAUCCAGUAUAAAUUUGCUGGGGCUUUCCAACUAGAUGUAGCAGAUAAGUCAAACCAUACCUCCUUUAAAUGAGUGUAAUUGGCAAACGGAUUAGUAGGUUCCGAGACAUUUAAAGCUGACCACCAAGUAGUAUUUUUAGUAUUAACAUUAUAGGCUUUUUGUCCCAAGCAAGUUAGCUCACCUACAGACGUGUUAUACAUUGUCCCUUUCCUGGCUAUACAAACAUAACCUAUAAUGGAGGUUUUUAACCACCAUUCCAAUUUACUUCUAGUACUUACUUGAUGAUCAGACUGGAAAGGUAUCUGUUGUUCAUAUGUCUCAGAGCCAGGGUACCAUAUUUCCUUUGCCUCCCAUGGCCACUGGUCUCCCAUAUUAGUACCUCCACACACAUAGCAAUUAGUUACAUUAAGACUACCUGCAAUACCC